UACGUAGGUGGCAAGCGUUAUCCGGAUUUAUUGGGCGUAAAGGGAACGCAGGCGGUCUUUUAAGUCUGAUGUGAAAGCCUUCGGCUUAACCGGAGUAGUGCAUUGGAAACUGGGAGACUUGAGUGCAGAAGAGAAGAGUGGAACUCCAUGUGUAGCGGUGAAAUGCGUAGAUAUGUGGAAGAACACCAGUGGCGAAAGCGGCUCUCUGGUCUGUAACUGACGCUGAGGUUCGAAAGCGUGGGUAGCAAACAGG
rnacentral:rRNA from 1 species